CCCACGUGAUCUAUAUAAUUACUUGUCCCUGUGGUUUAACGUAUGUGGGCAAAACACAAAAUACUUUACGUGAGCGAAUGGGAAAUCACAGGUCUACCAUUAAGAAAGCCUUUGAAACCGGCAAAUCCGAUUUACCCCUACCUAAGCAUUUUUUAAUGAUGGGGCACAGGUUACCAGCUUUUAAGUUCAUGGGAAUAGAUUUGAUCCCAGAGCCCAGCAGGGGGGGUGAUUGGGAUCGCAUGCUGCUUCAGAAGGAGAUGUUUUGGAUUAGAACUCUGGAUACUGUCUCCCCCCGGGGUCUUAAUGAGUAUUGUUCCUUUGCCUCUUAUUUAAAUACCAGGCCCUUUCUUACCUAUUAUCCCAUUAGGACCUAAAAUGCUGAAUAGUCGAAGUCCUGAAAGGCUUCUUCGAUGUUAUCUGCCAUUUCAGCACAAGGUCCUUUGGGCAGCGUUAGAUUGGCUGGCAGCUUGGUGUACUUCUCAUCAAAGUAGCUGACAUCCUCCGGUCCGUUGAGGCUGGGUACGAACGGGGCUGUUGCCUUCCCAUCAAUGAUGUCAUCCCAGGCUGUGUUCUGCAAACAGGCUGCUGUUGUUCCACAUUGGCCUCUUCGUCAUCCUCCUCAUCUUCUGCAGUGACAGUUCCCCUUUAUAUCUGGCGGCAAGGCCUCACCCUCAGGCAGGAAACAAUGGCUUUAUAUUUCCAUCAGCCUUACCUCAGUGUUUUGCUGCUGGUGCAAGAUGUUACACAGCUUGGCACCCAUCUUGAAUCUCCUGUAUCAGGAAAGAAAGAUUAGAUCUGGUUAAACUGUCUAUGGAAGAUAAAGGCAAAUGAUCACAGGUGCAUGAUGGGAAAGAGACAGCUUCCCACAUUUGAAUCCUGAGUGAGAAGGAGCCAUGUGAGCGAGGGUUUGAUGCUCGGGCCGUGCAGCACUGUAUCUGCAGCAGAGGAGGAGUUCAGUGCAACACAGAGGAACACCCCUUGCACCUUGGUACCUCACUCAUCAGAACCAGUGAAGUUAUUUACUUAAACAUUUUACUCACAUAGUGUGACCUUCCUUAAUGUCCCUUUCCAUGGGAUGUUGGGAAUUGUAACUCAACAGAUGAACCCAUUUUAAUUUUUUUCUAAUUUCAAUUUACCUUUCCAUAUUGUAAUUCUUCCCCCCUACAUGGCCAGUUAGUGUUAGUUGGUAAACCCCUGGAACUGUAGCAGUGUUGCACUGUGCGCCCAAAUCUUACUCCGGGGUCUCUAAGCCCCUAGCUUACAAAUCUACAGGUAGGAAUUAUGAAUAAUAGCUGGCGCUAAAGAAAUAAUGAACAGCUUGGUACAUUCAAGAGGGAAAGAUAACCGUACUCAGAUUAUAGAGGGGGAAAUGCAGGACCAGUACCUUUGUCCAGAGGACCCCAAAUGGGAAGAUGAAAAUAUCCUCUGGGCAGGGAAUCACUCGAGUCUUCUCUUUCCUUUGCUGUUCUUCUCCCUUUGGUAUCGCUGAUAUUGUUUUUAUUCACCAAAGUCGCUUGCAAUACUUACCGCUAUGGGAAGAAAAUAAAGGAUUGUGAGCAUGAGAAUAUUAGGGGCAGUGGACCCUGCCGCCUCUGGAACCCCAGGAGAGUAGGGAGCCCAUUGGAUCCAGACUGAUAAGCAAUAUCAAUACAAAGUUGCAAAACUGCUCCUGUUUUAUAUUCGGGGGCCUUAAAAUGAAGAAUAGUACAGAUCCCAUAAUGCACUGUGAGGUUUUCAAUCUUUUUCAGACUAUAAUUAGAAGAAAAUGAGCCUGACAGCUCGUGUGUGUGUGCUAUUUAGCUAACAAACAUGAUGGUCAUCCAGGAUGCAGACUUUCCUCACUGGCUCUUGUAAAGAGCCUUUAUCUCCCAUAAUGCACUCCGAUGUCAGGCAUAAGAGGUAGUUAGCAUUGGUUUGCCUCUAAUGUCAGAGCUGGCUUAUGACAAGACUGCAGAUCCCAUUGUGCACUGAGAGCAGGGAUCAUCUCAAUAUCCUCAAAGAACCUGCUUCUCCCUGCACAUACCCAACAUGUCUGCUCCCCAUAACCUGCUCUACUCUGAUUAGUGCCCCUGCACCCAUAACACAAGAGAUCCUAACACUUAAGCAUUUAUUCUACUAACUGUACUAACUCUUCCUUAUCCAUCAUCCACUCUAGUGCUAAGGCUACUGACCGUUGCUAGGAUGAGUGGGACCCUAGCGUCCAAAUGACAGUUGGCAGUUACAGCUAAAGAGAGGUAGAUUAAAUGGCCUCAGAGUUUAAAAGCAGCAGUAAGCAAACACAAAAUACGCAAUGUUUUAGAACUUCAACUGAGCCACAGGGGAUGCUGGGAAAAGUAGUACAGCUAUAGCUAGAGAAGCAGAGGUUUAGGGUCAAUGAGACAGUGAUUAUGAUUUUCUACUGCAUUUUUGUUCUGCAGCUCUGCACAUUAAAUUGAAAUGGGCUUUUUUUUGAGGUGUCACUCCUGCUAACAGUGGUAUACCCCAUAAUUAAUAUAUAAACACACUGAUAAUUUCCAACAGUUUCAUGAUUAACAUCUCCCCAAACAAGAGCAAGCAAUGGGUUCGAUUUUGGGGGCUUUGGUGCCAGGGAGCAGUUUUGGGAUCUUUGACUCCACUGCCCAAACUACUAUAAAAGCUACUAUAAAAAAGUUGCCUAAAAUGUACCCCCUUCCUUUUUGUCAGGCAAAUAUUAUUGGUUAAGAUGACAGACAUUUCCAACGGACAACAUUAAGACAAGCAUCUCCCCAGGCAAUACCAAUAGGAGGCAAAGGGGUGGCAAUUUGGGGGAGUGUGACCCCACUAAUAAAGCUACUAUAAAUCAUGGGUGCCAAAACCCCCAAAUUGCCCCUUCUAUCAUUGUCUUAAAUAUGUCCCCCCUCCCCAGUUUCUUAAUCUGCUCCACUUACCUCUGAAUCCAGAAAUGGUAUAACUGCCGUUUGUGAGAGCCGUUGGUGAUGUCACUGAAGCACAAUAACUGCCAAACUGACACAUACUCAGAUACAUACAGGACUGUGUUUGGCUGUAUAGUGAGACUUGGGAACAAUUGAGCUUGCACUGACUGGGCUCCCCUAUCCCUACUGUUGAUGGCCCUGGCACCCUGGCACCUCACUCAUCUGGGUGAUUUUAAAAGCUCAUUAAAAUAUUUGAUUAAAUAUUUCGCUUA